AUGGCGGCGAUGCGCGAGUGCAGGGCACGUCGGCAUGGUGGCGGUGGGCUGCGUGGUGGUGGAGCCCGUCGGGGCCGAGGCGGCCCGAUCUGGUCUGAUCCGGGGUCGAUUCUGGCGACGGAUGGCCUGGUGGCCGCUGGCGGCUCCUUCUGCUGCUCCUGGAGGUCUCCCUCCUGCCUCCAUGGGUGGGAGGGGUGGCUGUUGUGCGGCUGCGGGCAGGGUGGCUGCGCGUUCGUCCUGGAUCUUGUGCUGGUUCAUGGUGGGUGGCACGGGUGGGGCAGCGGCCUGGCGUGGCUGUUGCUCCGGCCGUGGGCGGCAGCACGGGGAGGUCUGGCGCAUGGCGGUGGCCUCCCGGGGGCGCAGCGGCUACACGGUGGCUCGGCGGCUCUGCCCACGGCGACGACCGGCUUUACUCCGGCGUUGACUUGUCUGCGGUCGGACCGUUUCGACCUUCGCUCCAUAUCCUCUUCGUCCGGGCAAUACUUUAGUCCAAGGGUUGGCCCUCUCCCAGCUGCGGUCCAUCGCUCGUCUCACGCCCGGGGCUACAGGACCGAGCUCCUCUUGCGCCCGGCAGCAAGACCGAGCUCAUCUCGCGCCCGGCGGCAUGACCAAGCUCGCCUCGCACUCGGCGCUGCGGGACGGGGCGAUGAAGGCCAGUUUUAUCUGGCCUAUUGGGUCUCAGCGCCGGGGGUCGUCCAGGGGUGCGAAAGAAAGACAGGGCCUUUCCGCUCGUCUCUUCGGUUGGGGUACGACCGGUCUCGGGUCAGGUGGUGCAUAGAUCUUGGAUGUCGGGGUGGCGGCCCUGGUGGUGGUAGCGCGGUGCAUUUGGGCACAACCCGCGGCUCGGUGCUGCCCGGUGACCAUGGCCGUGUGAGCAGCAUGGCAGCCGGGGUGUGGCGUUCGGUGGCGAUGAGUGUUGGCCGGGGUGAAAACCUAUUCUAUCUUUGGACAGACCGGCGGUGGCGAAGCUCGUCCCUUCUUGAAGGCGUCGCCACGGCUCUCAUCGCCCGUCGUGUUGCUCCAGGGUAA
rnacentral:rRNA from 1 species